AUUGAACGCUGGCGGCAGGCCUAACACGUGCAAGUCGAGCGGAUGAAGGGAGCUUGCUCCUGGAUUCAGCGGCGGACGGGUGAGUAAUGCCUAGGAAUCUGCCUGGUAGUGGGGGAUAACGUCCGGAAACGGGCGCUAAUACCGCAUACGUCCUGAGGGAGAAAGUGGGGGAUCUUCGGACCUCACGCUAUCAGAUGAGCCUAGGUCGGAUUAGCUAGUUGGUGGGGUAAAGGACUACCAAGGCGACGAUCCGUAACUGGUCUGAGAGGAUGAUCAGUCACACUGGAACUGAGACACGGUCCAGACUCCUACGGGAGGCAGCAGUGGGGAAUAUUGGACAAUGGGCGAAAGCCUGAUCCAGCCAUGCCGCGUGUGUGAAGAAGGUCUUCGGAUUGUAAAGCACUUUAAGUUGGGAGGAAGGGCAGUAAGUUAAUACCUUGCUGUUUUGACGUUACCAACAGAAUAGGCACCGGCUAACUUCGUG
rnacentral:rRNA from 1 species